GAGAGGAAGAGGAGGGACUCUAGCAUGCGAGAGAUCCCACGACAGUUGCUGGAGUCAGCAGCAGCCCCUCCAUCUGAAGCAUCAGCUGAGGUUCUUCUGGAUGCGUCCAAAGAGGUCAAAUCCCUAGAGCAGAUCUCUCCUGUGAGCAGACGGUGAGGAAUGGAGAGAAAGAGAGAAACGGAUGCUGGGAAUCCCUCCCUAGAUCAAAGCAGAGACAUGGAAAGAGGGACAGAGAGAGGGAGGAGGAGAAGAGGAGGAUAUAUUUGUAUCACCGUUUGCAGUAGUAGUUGUCUUGGUCUUGGUUAGAUAGCUCAGUGUCUGCUAUUUUCAGGUGUCCUAUGGAGGAUAUAGUGGAGGAACAUGUGGCUCUACCAGACAGAGAACAGGAGACAGAGACUAGAGAGGUCACUGCUGAGGGUCUGUUGACAUAAGGUCUUAAUAAUCACCCCUCUAGUCACUGAAAUACUCUUUCUAACUCACCCAUUACUGUACUGUUCCAUCUAUUCCCAUAGGGCGGCGCAGCGUCGUCCGGGUUUGGCCGG